GGAGGAAAGCAGGGGAUCGUAAGACCUCGCGUUAUUAGAGCGGCCGAUAUCUGAUUAGCUAGUAGGUGAGGUAAAGGCUCACCUAGGCGACGAUCAGUAGCUGGUCUGAGAGGACGACCAGCCACACUGGAACUGAGACACGGUCCAGACUCCUACGGGAGGCAGCAGUGGGGAAUUUUGGACAAUGGGCGCAAGCCUGAUCCAGCCAUUCCGCGUGAGUGAAGAAGGCCUUCGGGUUGUAAAGCUCUUUCGCAAGGGAAGAAACGAUCCAGCAUAAUACGCUGGGUUAAUGACGGUACCUUGAUAAGAAGCACCGGCUAACUACGUGCCAGCAGCCGCGGUAAUACGUAGGGUGCGAG
rnacentral:rRNA from 1 species